rnacentral:rRNA from 1 species
AUUGAACGCUGGCGGCAUGCCUUACACAUGCAAGUCGAACGGUAACAGGUCUUCGGAUGCUGACGAGUGGCGAACGGGUGAGUAAUACAUCGGAACGUACCCGAUCGUGGGGGAUAACGGAGCGAAAGCUUUGCUAAUACCGCAUACGAUCUACGGAUGAAAGCAGGGGACCGCAAGGCCUUGCGCGGACGGAGCGGCCGGUGGCAGAUUAGGUAGUUGGUGGGAUAAAAGCUUACCAAGCCGACGAUCUGUAGCUGGUCUGAGAGGACGACCAGCCACACUGGGACUGAGACACGGCCCAGACUCCUACGGGAGGCAGCAGUGGGGAAUUUUGGACAAUGGGCGCAAGCCUGAUCCAGCCAUGCCGCGUGCAGGAUGAAGGCCUUCGGGUUGUAAACUGCUUUUGUACGGAACGAAAAGACUCUGGUUAAUACCUGGGGUCCAUGACGGUACCGUAAGAAUAAGCACCGGCUAACUACGUGCCAGCAGCCGCGGUAAGAC